rnacentral:rRNA from 1 species
GCGGACGGGUGAGUAAUGCCUGGGAAAUUGCCCUGAUGUGGGGGAUAACCAUUGGAAACGAUGGCUAAUACCGCAUAAUGUCUACGGACCAAAGAGGGGGACCUUCGGGCCUCUCGCUUCAGGAUAUGCCCAGGUGGGAUUAGCUAGUUGGUGAGGUAAUGGCUCACCAAGGCGACGAUCCCUAGCUGGUCUGAGAGGAUGAUCAGCCACACUGGAACUGAGACACGGUCCAGACUCCUACGGGAGGCAGCAGUGGGGAAUAUUGCACAAUGGGCGCAAGCCUGAUGCAGCCAUGCCGCGUGUAUGAAGAAGGCCUUCGGGUUGUAAAGUACUUUCAGUCGUGAGGAAGGCGUUGGAGUUAAUAGCUUCAUCGUUUGACGUUAGCGACAGAAGAAGCACCGGCUAACUCCGUGCCAGCAGCCGCGGUAAUACGGAGGGUGCGAGCGUUAAUCGGAAUUACUGGGCGUAAAGCGCAUGCAGGUGGUUUGUUAAGUCAGAUGUGAAAGCCCGGGGCUCAACCUCGGAACCGCAUUUGAAACUGGCAGGCUAGAGUACUGUAGAGGGGGGUAGAAUUUCAGGUGUAGCGGUGAAAUGCGUANAGAUCUGAAGGAAUACCAGUGGCGAAGGCGGCCCCCUGGACAGAUACUGACACUCAGAUGCGAAAGCGUGGGGAGCAAAC